UUGGAGGGCAAGUCUGGUGCCAGCAGCCGCGGUAAUUCCAGCUCCAAUAGCGUAUAUUAAAGUUGUUGCAGUUAAAAAGCUCGUAGUUGAAUUUCGGGAUUAAUAUGCUGGUCGUGCCAUUGGUACGUACUAGUAUUAUUGAUUUCUCCCUUCUGAUGAAUCAUGAUGUCAUUAAUUUGAUGUCAUGGGGAAUCAGGACUGUUACUUUGAAAAAAUUAGAGUGUUUAAAGCAGGCUCGCGCUUGAAUACAUUAGCAUGGAAUAAUGAAAUAGGACGUUUGAUUCUAUUUUGUUGGUUUCUAGGAUUGACGUAAUGAUUAAUAGGGAUAGUUGGGGGCAUUAGUAUUCAAUUGUCAGAGGUGAAAUUCUUGGAUUUAUUGAAGACUAACUACUGCGAAAGCAUUUGCCAAGGAUGUUUUCAUUAAUCAAGAACGAAAGUUAGGGGAUCGAAGACGAUCAGAUACCGUCGUAGUCUUAACCAUAAACUAUGCCGACUAGGGAUCGGAUGAUGUUAUUUUUAAUGACUCAUUCGGCGCCUUACGGGAAAC
rnacentral:rRNA from 1 species